GCUUGAGGCCGGCGAGGGUCCGGCACGAGACGCCUAAAGCCGACGAGCUAGUUGCCACUGCUGCUGCUGCUCGCUCAAGGUUGCUGCUGCUGCUCACUCGCUCGGAGUUGCUGCUGCUGCUCGCUCGCUCGGAAUCGCUGCUGCUGCUGCUGGCUGACGAGCUAGUUGGCUUGCUGCUGCUGCUCGCUCGCUCGCUCGGAGUCGUCUGGCGCAAGGUUUGACUGGAGAGAGAGACGUGCUCUGUGAGCAUUCUCCCUUUCUCUGGUUCCUUCAGCAGCGCCACCCGCCGCUUGCCGUCGCGCCUCCCUGCGCCAGCCCCGCCGCUCGCCGUCGCGCCUCCAUGCGCCAGCCCGCCGUCGCCGUCGCGCUGCCCUGCGCCCCGCAGAUGUAAAGGUACUCAAACCAGUGCGGCUAUUGGUUCUUGAUCUGCUGAAAGGCCCUGCCGGUGAUGGAUUCGAGUUCGCCGGAAAUCCAUCGUGACAAGGGGGGCCUCAAUCUUCCUCCGGUCUCUUCUAAUUUUGACAGGUCUCGAUCUAAGUCCCCUGCCAAUGUUCCGUCUCAGCACCCGCCUCUCGUAAAGCAGGGUUAUUCUUCCGGCGCAGUGGCUGUUGGCAGCGCUCGCGGGUUUUUCACCGGCGCAGAGUUUGAUCGGUGAUCCUAACCAGGCCAUCCCUGGUUUGAUACAGCCGCUGCCGUCUGUUGUUACUUCAGUAGCGCAGGUGCCGGGUUCUGCUCCGGCUGUUUCUUUCGCUGCCAAAGUAGCUGAUAAAGUCCAACACAAAUCCCUUAAGAAGCCGGAUGUUGCAGCGUAUGGCCUCCGAGGCCUUCAAAUACAGCGAGAAGGAGAGGUUGUCACCCUCUCAGUGCCCAAAUCGGAAUAUCAAACAAAGUUGGAAGAGUUUCAAUUUGCACUAAUCGGUAGACUUAUCCAACGUAAAGGGGACAAGCCACGCACGUUCGCCG
rnacentral:lncRNA from 1 species